GCUUGCUCCAGCCUUAAGAUAUAUAUAUUUUAUUUUCUACUAGCCACAAGUAAAACAUUAGGCAGUCCAGGAGUAAUUUAGUUAUGCCCCGAAACCAUCACCUGUUGCUAGGUGACACUGUUUACCUUUUUUGUUUCUAAUGCUAUCAUGGGGAGAAUAGAUAGUACUCACUGAAUAUAGUUUAAUGCAGUUACCUGAGGAUGCAGUGUCAACAACUCAUGACAAAGGCACCAAGGAUUAUUUCUUCAAAUUUUUCUGUAGGGAUGAUUGGUCUUGGUGUCUGUAUGCAGUUCACCCUUCCUUAAACUAGGAGCUCGUGCUUCAGAUUUCAUCUGAAUUAAAUCUGCAAGAGUGGUUCAGUCAGAGAUCUGUGGCUCUGAAAAGUUUCCAGCAUCCUGUAGCACACUGCAGUGUGUUGUAUAUUUCAAGAUAUGUUUGACAGUGCGGUGCCACUGGCGAAAAGAUCUGAAAGCUCAAUCAGAGUCUGUGUGACAUUAAUCAAAGCAUUAUAUUCUAACUCUCCCAUAAGUGUCAUGGACUAAUAGGCUGCCAUCUUUGGUUUCUGCUUCUGAAAUGGGAGAAAUGUACUUAGGGUUUCCUUGUUACCAUCCAAAACUCCUUUACAUGUAUGUCAAGUAAAUAGAAUAGAGAACAAUAUCUGACCUGAGUUACACAGGGAAAAUCAGUGAUCUAAUCCACCAUGUAAGGAAAAAUUAAGUUUACAGCACACAGCCAUGUCCAGGAUCUGAACUUUGUCAAAGUACAUUGUCAAAUUAAUUACGAUGUAACUUACCUGAAAAUAAUCCUAAUACUUCUUUUACUUGCCACACAUCACUUUUUGCAGUUGUUUCAGCAUGUACGUUUCAGCAUGUACUCAUCAUAAAUGAUUUCUGAAUGCAGAUCUUCCUUCAGUGCUGGCCUACUCUCUUUUAAUACCUGGUAUGAGAAAUUGCUGCUGCCUGCCUAGAAUUACUACAACAAUUUUUUUCCACUUCUUCAAAAAUUCUUUGGCUCAGUUACCAGGUUGUUACUCUAGAAGAGACACAUGCAUAAAUUCAAAGAGAG
rnacentral:lncRNA from 1 species